rfam:Desulfitobacterium dichloroeliminans LMG P-21439, complete genome.
AAUUAAAUAAAAGUUCAAGGUUCCUCUUUGAGGAUGAAAAGGGAAGUCGGUGAAAAUCCGGCGCGGUCCCGCCACUGUGAACCAUGAGUGCCCCUCAAUAACCCACUAGAUAAUUCCGGGAAGGGAAGGGGCGUGAUGACUGGAAGCCAGGAGACCUGCCUUGAAUUGUUAUAUUCA